UUUGCCCAUUUCUCCCAUGUUUUCCGUGCAUGUGUGUUUCUUUGGGCAUUGCAUUAUCACCUUAUGUUGUCGAGCUAUAGGUCUCCAUAUGUUUGUCUUGAAUUUCCCAUCUUCAGUCCACACCUUGUCUUGCAUGAUUAUGAUAAUGAUACCAACCAUCACAUUUUUUAUUGUUCUUUUGUGGUACCAUUUUUCUAUGCUUUGUCUUAGCGUACUUUCUAGGUCUCCCUUUCUCGAAAUCACGCCAUCCCUUAGAUACAUUUGAGUUUUAUGCAAACCAGCAUGGCAUCUCAAACAACUCCUUAUAGCAAAGUCACGCUCCCAGACAGGCGUGCACUGUUGACCACAAAAGCUCUCUCCAAAGCUCCUUUUGUCUAGAAGUUCAUCUCUCCUUUCCCAUGUGACAUUGUGCUCACUUAUUGCAAUAGAUAUUUGGCGUAGCAUUCCACUCUAGACUUCUUCUUUCUCCUCUUCCGGUUGCUUAUAUUUUGUUCGAGAGAGCCAUUUCUCUUCUUGAUCUGCCUCAUGAAAUGGUCGAUCAAAUUCCUCCAAAGUUCCAGCAAUUCCUUUUGAUGUAAUUGCCUUCCUUGAAAUGAUCUUUGUACAUAUGCCAAAGCCCACCUUUAAUGUCCUCCCAGCGGAUUGAAUGCAAGGCAUUAAUACCACCACUUGAGAUUCUAUUAUAACAUAAGGUUUUAGCAUCGAUGAGAUACUUGCAAAAAAGUAAACAAUGUUAGUUGAAAAAUUGCUAACCAAUCUCUCCUCAAGAAUGAUUCGAGUCCGAUAGCAAAUUGUAGCCUCUUUUCCUCCUAAUUCCUUGCAACCUUCACUCUUAUGUAAGGACAUUGCAUCUUGUCUUCAUUAAUAAUCCUCCUUCCUUUUGAGUCCAUAUACUAGAAGCCAUGACAUUCAAUAUUUCCUUUAUCUAGAGCAUAGUUGGCAAGGUGGUCUGCUAAUGUAUUCCCUUCUUUGAAUAUGUGUGUGACCUUGAUGAUACUUUGUUCCUUUAAUCUUAAAAUCUCCUCAACAUGAUCAGUAAUAUACCAAGGCGGAUUCCAUGAUUCCUUUAUAAUGUUCUUUAAUAGCAAGGAAUCUGUCUGCAGCCAUAUCUGAAAAUAAUUAAGAUUUUUGCACAUCUUCAAUGCCUCCACAAUAGCUACUGCUUCUGAUUCAUUAUUGGUUCCUUCAGAAAUCUCCCUUCCUUCUGCAUAUAUCAAAUCACCUACCUCAUCCCUUAUGCAGAAACCAAUUGAACUCCUCCCUGGGUUCCCUCUACAUGCACCAUCCAUAUUUACUUUGAUCCACCCUCUUGGAGGAAAUUCCCAUAACACCUUUUCAUAUUUCAAUCGAGGUGUGUAUUGAUCCAUCAUUGUCAGUAAGUCCAGCCACUUGUUAGGCACAUGCAGUCCAGGCUUUUUUAAUUGGACUAGAGCUUGCAGAGUAGAUGACACCUGGAAGUAAUUCCAAACACUCCUAGCUGCAUUGGAUGUGAAGAACAAAUGUACUAAUGACUCCUCCUUAGGAUCAGCACAAUACCAACAUUUUGAUGGCAUGGAGUAUCCUAUUUUACGCAAGAAAUCAUCAAGUGGCAGUUUGGCUUUCCACACCUUCCACAGGAAGAAAGAUAACUUGAAAGGUAAGCCUUUGACCCAUAUCAUCCUGCAACCUAAUCAUGGGUUGUCUCUUCUUCGCAGGUAAUCCCAUGCAGACUUCACUGAAAAAUGACCUCUUAUUUCAAGCAUCCAGAAUGGUGUAUCUAACUCUGCACAUUCGUUUGGUGGUCUAAUAUUUUGCACAAUGUGGUUUGCCAAAUCUUCAGGCACUUGGAAAUAUAAGGCUCCCAGCUUAGUCCAAUUGUCGAACCAGAAUUGAGCUGAUCCCAUUCUCGGUUUCCA